UUAUACUACACUACAGUAGUAUUUACAUUGCACUUCAGUGAAAACCUUAUUUAUUUAAAAUGAACUUUUUUUACACUUAAUACUUAAACAGGCUCUGUUUAGAUAUGUUAUUUAUUGUAAGAUAUAUACUUCUAGUGAACGGUACUGUUGCAAGCCACUGAGAAGUUCACUGAAAACACUUAGAAUAACGUUUUUUAACCUACGAGUAACAUUGUGUACUGUGUCAGGAAUGGUACGGUUUUUCUCACCUUCACGAAGGUCUGCGUUGCGUGUAAAGGGGUUUUUCAGCAGAUUGAUCUGUUCAAGCUCAAGGUCGACAAGGGAAUUUGUCUUCGCCAUGAGCGCCCGGGGUACGGACCGGUCAGCCGGCCUGCAACAGCCUGGUACGGUUGUCAAGGAGACGUUCACCGCCGAGGAUGGGCGGACACCGGCGGGCCACACGCAGUGUUGUCUGGCUCGCCGAUCGCAGGAGACCAGAGAGGAACUGGCAAAAAUUAAGAAGAGGGUCGAUCACACUGUGCAGAACUUUGAACUUCACAACAAUCACCAGGCUCUGGAGACACUCCAGCAGGGCAGCAUGGAGUUUGUGGAGGACAUGGCAAGUACAGACAGGAGUAAUUCAGUGAGAGCCAUGUUGACUGCCAUUGAGCUCCA
rnacentral:lncRNA from 1 species